AUUGAACGCUGGCGGCAGGCCUAACACAUGCAAGUCGAGCGGAUGAAGCGAGCUUGCUCCUGGAUUCAGCGGCGGACGGGUGAGUAAUGCCUAGGAAUCUGCCUGGUAGUGGGGGAUAACGUCCGGAAACGGGCGCUAAUACCGCAUACGUCCUGAGGGAGAAAGUGGGGGAUCUUCGGACCUCACGCUAUCAGAUGAGCCUAGGUCGGAUUAGCUAGUUGGUGGGGUAAAGGCCUACCAAGGCGACGAUCCGUAACUGGUCUGAGAGGAUGAUCAGUCACACUGGAACUGAGACACGGUCCAGACUCCUACGGGAGGCAGCAGUGGGGAAUAUUGGACAAUGGGCGAAAGCCUGAUCCAGCCAUGCCGCGUGUGUGAAGAAGGUCUUCGGAUUGUAAAGCACUUUAGGUUGGGAGGAAGGGCAGUAAGUUAAUACCUUGCUGUUUUGACGUUACCAACAGAAUAAGCACCGGCUAACUUCGUG
rnacentral:rRNA from 1 species